rnacentral:tRNA from 1 species
UCCCUGGUGGUCCAGUGGCUAAGACUCCACACUUCCAAUGCAGGGCACCCAGGUUUGAUUCCUGGUCAGGGAA